CCGAUCGCCCAUCCGGGGAUCGGCACAGUCCAACGGGGCGGCCGCUCUUUGGGCGCCCCUUGUAUCCAUGUUGCUCAAAUGGAGGAUAUGGCUAUGAGAG
rnacentral:sRNA from 1 species